GACGAACGCUGGCGGCGUGCUUAACACAUGCAAGUCGAACGAAGAGCGAUGGAAGCUUGCUUCUAUCAAUCUUAGUGGCGAACGGGUGAGUAACGCGUAAUCAACCUGCCCUUCAGAGGGGGACAACAGUUGGAAACGACUGCUAAUACCGCAUACGAUCUAACCUCGGCAUCGAGGAAAGAUGAAAGGUGGCCUCUAUGUAUAAGCUAUCACUGAAGGAGGGGAUUGCGUCUGAUUAGCUAGUUGGAGGGGUAACGGCCCACCAAGGCGAUGAUCAGUAGCCGGUCUGGGAGGAUGGACGGCCACAUUGGGACUGAGACACGGCCCAGACUUCUACGGGAGGCAGCAGUGGGGAAUCUUCCGCAAUGGACGAAAGUCUGACGGAGCAACGCCGCGUGAGUGAUGACGGCCUUCGGGUUGUAAAGCUCUGUUAAUCGGGACGAAAGGCCUUCUUGCGAAUAGUGAGAAGGAUUGACGGUACCGGAAUAGAAAGCCACGGCUAACUACGUG
rnacentral:rRNA from 1 species